CCGCGUCCGGCGAGCAGCUCUGCAAGAAAACAAAAUCAAAAAAAAGUACUAUUAUCGAUUCCUAAAUUCUCUGCGGGUGAAUUAAAUAAUAUAUUGAGGGGAACUAGCAUUAAAGGACAUGAAUUCUCAAAAUUCAAGACUGCCUAAAUAAACGCGAAAUAAUUUAAGUGUGUUGUAGAGGUACAUAAUUACAGAA